rfam:Pseudomonas sp. Chol1 Contig117, whole genome shotgun sequence.
CUUGACGACCAUAGAGCGUUGGAACCACCUGAUCCCAUCCCGAACUCAGUAGUGAAACGACGCAUCGCCGAUGGUAGUGUGGGGUCUCCCCAUGUGAGAGUAGGUCAUCGUCAAGC